rnacentral:lncRNA from 1 species
GGAUAUCUCCGUACCAUCGCCUCCAACUGAUCCCAACGCACCACCUUCAGGAGGGGUCGGUUACUAUCCGUCCCCUCCAACUUCUAAUGGAACCCCACCAAGCCCGGAUACACCGAGCAUUCCCAAUAUAUCCACACCUCCAGCUCCAUUUGAUCCCAAUGCACCACCUUCUGGAGGGGGAGGAUACUAUCCCUCCCCUCCAACUUAUGGUGGUACCCCUACCACACCAACUACUCCUAUAAUUGGCCCUGGAACUCCGAGCAUUCCCGAUAUAUUCACGCCUUUAGCUCCAUUUGACCCCAAUGCACCACCUUCGGGCGGGUACUAUCCCUCCCCUCCAAGUUUUGCUACCCCUAGUACCCCUAGUAUACCCAUAAUUCUCCCACCAAUUACUCCUAUCAUCAACCCGGGCACUCCUGGUAUCUACAUACCUCCACCUCUAUUCGAUCCCAACUCACC